UACGUAGGGGGCUAGCGUUGUCCGGAUUUAUUGGGCGUAAAGAGCUCGUAGGCGGUUCAGUAAGUCGGGUGUGAAAACUCUGGGCUCAACCCAGAGAGGCCACCCGAUACUGCUGUGACUUGAGUACGGUAGGGGAGUGGGGAAUUCCUGGUGUAGCGGUGAAAUGCGCAGAUAUCAGGAGGAACACCAAUGGCGAAGGCAGCUCGCUGGAACGGUACUGACGCUGAGGCGCGAAAGCGUGGGGAGCGAACAGG
rnacentral:rRNA from 1 species